rnacentral:rRNA from 1 species
GAUGAACGCUGGCGGCGUGCCUAAUACAUGCAAGUCGAGCGAACAGACAAUGAGCUUGCUCCUCUAACGUUAGCGGCGGACGGGCGAGUAACACGUGGAUAACCUACUUAUAAUACUGGGAUAACUUCGGGAAACCGGAGCUAAUACCGGAUAAUAUAUUCAACCGCAUGAUUCAAUAGUGAAAGACGGUUUUGCUGUCACUUAUAGAUGGAUCCGCGCCGCAUUAGCUAGUUGGUAAGGUAACGGCUUACCAAGGCAACGAUGCGUAGCCGACCUGAGAGGGUGAUCGGCCACACUGGAACUGAGACACGGUCCAGACUCCUACGGGAGGCAGCAGUAGGGAAUAUUCGGCAAUGGGCGAAAGCCUGACGGAGCAACACCGCGUGAGUGAAGAAGGUCUUCGGAUCGUAAAACUCUGUUAUUAGGGAAGAAAAAAUGUGUAAGUAACUAUGCACGUCUUGACGGUACCUAAUCAGAAAGCCACGGCUAACUACGUG